rnacentral:rRNA from 1 species
ACGAACGCUGGCGGCAUGCCUAACACCUUCAAGUCGAACGAGACCUUCGGGUCUAGUGGCGCACGGGUGCGUAACGCGUGGGAACCUGCCCUUAGGUUCGGAAUAACUCCCCGAAAGGGGUGCUAAUACCGGAUAAUGUCUUCGGACCAAAGAUUUAUCGCCUUUGGAUGGGCCCGCGUUGGAUUAGCUAGUUGGUAGGGUAAAAGCCUACCAAGGCGACGAUCCAUAGCUGGUCUGAGAGGAUGAUCAGCCACACUGGGACUGAGACACGGCCCAGACUCCUACGGGAGGCAGCAGUGGGGAAUAUUGGACAAUGGGCGAGAGCCUGAUCCAGCAAUGCCGCGUGAGUGAUGAAGGCCUUAGGGUUGUAAAGCUCUUUUACCCGGGAUGAUAAUGACAGUACCGGGAGAAUAAGCUCCGGCUAACUCCGUG